UACGAGGGGUGCAAGCGUUGCUCGGAAUUAUUGGGCGUAAAGGGUAGGUAGGUGGUCUCAUUUGUCUGGGGUGAAAGCCCUUGAGCUUGAACUCAAGAAGUCAGCCCCGGAAACGGUGAGACUCGAGUCCUGGGAGAGGGUCGUGGAAUUCCCGGUGGUGCGGUGAAAUGCGUAGAGAUCGGGAAGAACACCCGUGGCGAAGGCGGCUCUCUGGGACGGUACUGACGCUGAGACGCGAAAGCGUGGGGAGCGAACAGG
rnacentral:rRNA from 1 species